rnacentral:rRNA from 1 species
GAUGAACGCUGGCGGUAUGCUUAACACAUGCAAGUCGAACGGACUCUUCGGAGUUAGUGGCGGACGGGUGAGUAACGCGUGAGAAUCUGGCUUUGGGUUCGGGACAACCACUGGAAACGGUGGCUAAUACCGGAUGUGCCGAGAGGUAAAAGAGAAAUUGCCUGAAGAUGAGCUCGCGUCUGAUUAGCUAGUUGGUGAGGUAAAGGCUCACCAAGGCAGCGAUCAGUAGCUGGUCUGAGAGGAUGACCAGCCACACUGGGACUGAGACACGGCCCAGACUCCUACGGGAGGCAGCAGUGGGGAAUUUUCCGCAAUGGGCGAAAGCCUGACGGAGCAAUACCGCGUGAGGGAAGAAGGCUCUUGGGUUGUAAACCUCUUUUCUUAGGGAAGAACAAAAUGACAGUACCUAAGGAAUCAGCAUCGGCUAACUCCGUG